CCUACGGGAGGCAGCAGUGAGGAAUAUUGGUCAAUGGGCGGAAGCCUGAACCAGCCAAGUAGCGUGCGGGAUGAAGGCCCUACGGGUCGUAAACCGCUUUUGCACGGGUAUAACACCCUCCACUUGUAGAAUUCUGCAGGUACCGUGCGAAUAAGGGCCGGCUAAUUCCGUGCCAGCAGCCGCGGUAAUACGGAAGGUCCGAGCGUUAUCCGGAUUCAUUGGGGUUAAAGGGAGCGUAGGCGGGCGUUAAAGUCAGCGGUAAAAUCGCGCGGCUCAACCGGGCUCCGCAGUUGAAACUGGACGCCUUGAGUUCACAACAGGCAGGCGGAAUUAGUGGUGUAGCGGUGAAAUGCAUAGAUAUCACGAGGAACCCCGAUUGCGAAGGCAGCCUGCCGGGGUGCGACUGACGCUGAGGCUCGAAGGUGCGGGUAGCAAACAGGAUUAGAUACCCCUGUAGUC
rnacentral:rRNA from 1 species